GGGGUUGUGGCUCAGAGGUAGAGCACUUGCCUAGCAUGUGUGAAGCACUGGGUUUGAUCCUCAGCACCACUU
rnacentral:tRNA from 1 species